rnacentral:rRNA from 1 species
UUAAAAAGCUCGUAGUUGGAUUUCUGUCGAGGGCGGCCGGUCCGCACUAUGUGCGUGUAUCUGGUUCGGUCUUGGCAUCCUCUUGGGGAUCGUUCGUGUGCUUGAUUGCAUGCGACGGAAUUCAAGACUUUUACUUUGAGGAAAUUAGAGUGUUCACGGCAAGCUAUCGCUUUGAAUACAUUAGCAUGGAAUAAUAAUAUAGGGCGUAAGUUCUAUCUUGUUGGUUCAUAGAAAAUACGCAAUGAUUAAUAGGGAUAAUUGGGGGCACUCGUAUUAACGCGUCAGAGGUGGAAUUCUUAGAUUGCGUUACGACGAAC